GCUCCGGUGGUGUAAGGCGAACAUCGCUGACCGGAAAGUAGAAGAUGCGGGUUCGAGUCCCGCCUGGCGCA
rnacentral:tRNA from 1 species